GGACUACCGGGGUUUCUAAUCCUGUUUGAUCCCCACGCUUUCGUGCCUCAGCGUCAAUAAUUGCGUAGAAGGCUGCCUUCGCAAUCGGUGUUCUGUGUCAUAUCUAUGCAUUUCACCGCUACAUGACACAUUCCGCCUUCCUCCACAAUAUUCAAGACUAAUAGUAUCAAUGGCAGUUUCCAGGUUGAGCCCAGAGAUUUCACCACUGACUUAAAAGUCCGCCUACACACCCUUUAAACCCAGUAAAUCCGGAUAACGCUUGCACCCUCCGUAUUACCGCGGCUGCUGGCAC
rnacentral:rRNA from 1 species